rnacentral:rRNA from 1 species
UACGGGGGGGGCAAGCGUUGUUCGGAAUUACUGGGCGUAAAGGGCGCGUAGGCGGCCUGGUAAGUAGGGGGUGAAAUCCUGCGGCUUAACCGCAGGGCUGCCUUCUAAACUGUCAGGCUCGAGCAUGGUAGAGGCAGAUGGAAUUCCCGGUGUAGCGGUGGAAUGCGUAGAUAUCAGGAGGAACACCGGUGGCGAAGGCGGCUUUCUGGACAGAUACCGACGCUGGAGGCACGAAAGCUAGGGGAGCAAACAGG